rnacentral:lncRNA from 1 species
ACCGCUGCCUGAACCUGAGCCACAGGGAGUGUGUGCAAGUGGAAAUCAGAGGACUAUAGCUGGUGUAAAGUUGACAUAAAACAGCAUCAAAGGUAUCCGAGACACCCUGCAUUUGACUGAAUUCCUGAAGUCUCCUACUGUAAACCCUGCAAUGUCAUCUUGGCUUGUGUCCUGGGACUGAGGCCGGCUGGACGGAUGACUAUGGAUGUGAUAGACCAGCUGCCGAUGUAUUGGUUCAGUCAUCAUGAUGGCUGGUACCAUUGGGAAUCAUUGCUAAGACAGCACCUUAGAGAUGAGCAUCUCCAGAUGAAAAGGAAAAGUCCCACCCAUGCUACCACCUGCAGUCCCAGCAAAGGCACUAAGACCAACCAGGCUCUGGUUCCUACUUCC